CAGAUGCUGCCAGACCUGCUGAGUUCCUCCAGUGACUUGUGUGUCAUUCCUUUUUUGGAGAACAUGAAUGGAUUUUUGGGUUCCUGCAUCUGUCAGCAGACACAGACAUUUACAGGAAAAUAAAGAAAUACAAAUGAACAUGAGAAACGAUACAUAAACAAAUACCGACAUGCAACAAAAGUGCAAAAGAAGACAAAUCAUGUAAAAAAGAACAAUUAAUACUAAGAGCAUGAAUUAUAGAAAACCUGAAGCCUCGGCCCUCCACUCCGUCCUGUCCCACCUAGAAAAUGAUGCCUCAUACGCCAGGAUGUUGUUCGUGGACUACUGCUUGGCAUUUAACGUGAUCGUCCCUCAGAGGCUGGUGGGUAAACUGUCCUCGUUGGGACUCAAAACUCCUCUCUGUAAUUGGAUCUUGGGCUUCUUGAAGGAGAGACCGCAGUCGUUCCAAGCGGAUGGCAGCAUCUCAAGCUCCAUCAUGAGCACUGGUCACCCUCAGAUGUGUGCGCUCAGUCCGCUGCUG